rnacentral:piRNA from 1 species
UGAUGCUGAGUGGCCUCUCUUCCGGU